rnacentral:rRNA from 1 species
GAACGCUGGCGGCGUGCUUAACACAUGCAAGUCGCGCGUGAAGGACUUCGGUCCGAGUAAAGCGGCGCACGGGUGAGUAACGCGUGGAUGAUCUACCCAUGAGUUAGGAAUAACGGCUGGAAACGGUCGCUAAUACCAAAUACGCUCCGAUUUCAACUUCGGGGGAAAGGUGGCCUCUGCUUGCAAGCUACUGCUCAUGGAUGAGUCCGCGUCCCAUUAGCUAGUUGGUGGGGUAACGGCCCACCAAGGCGACGAUGGGUAGCCGGUCUGAGAGGAUGACCGGCCACACUGGGACUGGAACACGGCCCAGACUCCUACGGGAGGCAGCAGUGGGGAAUAUUGCGCAAUGGGCGAAAGCCUGACGCAGCGACGCCGCGUGAGGGAUGAAAGGUCCUCGGAUCGUAAACCUCUGUCAGGAGGGAAGAACCGCCACGGUGCUAAUCAGCCGUGGUCUGACGGUACCUCCAAAGGAAGCACCGGCUAACUCCGUGCCAGCAGCUGC